UCUAGAAAACACCUUGCUGCAAAAUUGAAGCUGCUAAAAUCGGAAUACUUGAAAUCGAUUGCUGCAAAAUCGAAAAGAGAGAAAUCGAAGCCAGAUUGAAAGGCCCAGAUCGUGGUUUCCUCUCUCCAAACAAAUUGUGUUUCCUCUCUCCAAUAUCAGACCCAAAUCACGAUUCACCCAUCUUGGGUAGAUAGGUUGAACAAAUCGGCACUCGGCAUCCCCUAUUUCAGAUUCAAGCUCAAAAAUCUAUUUCGGUGAUAAGAAGACUAAGAAUCGGUAUAUAUUUCAGUAAAACAUUCAUUAUCAUCCUUCACUAUGUGCUUUCUGCGAGAUUCUUUCCCUACCCAAUGUUGUCGAGGUCUGAAAUUUUUUUCCAUUAUGUAUUUUGGGCUUAUUUUGUGGUUUAUGUUUUGCUGAGCCAAUAACUUAUUUGUUAGCUCUAAGAAUUGGAAAUUUUGAUUAGUAUUAGGCUUUAUACUGGGUAUUCGGGCACUUAUUUUGGCUUUGCUUAGUUAUAAAUUUAUCAAAUUAGCUAAUUUGUUAGCUCUAACAAUUAGAAAUUUUAUACAAGUAUGGACAAACUAAGAAAAACAGAGUUGUUGAGUGACUGUCCUAGCUCUAACCUAACUGACAUUCCGCAUAAAAUUUUGAAAAUAAAUAAAGAUACAAUUUUUGUGAAAUUUGGGAAAGACCCUUAAGCUUUAUAGCUGGAUUUGCUUUAUCCCUCAUGAACUCUCUUAUUCCAUCUUCAUUACAGCAACUAACAAGGAAGUUUCUGUAGGUAGUUGAGCACAGUAGCCACCAUUAAUUAAUUUAAUUUUUUAGAAUUUUGUUAUCUUUAUGUAGUGUACAUGUGGUAGAAGGGAGAUAGGU
rnacentral:lncRNA from 1 species